UACGGGGGGAGCAAGCGUUGUUCGGAUUUACUGGGCGUAAAGGGCGCGUAGGCGGCCACCGCAAGUCGGUUGUGAAAUCUCUGGGCUUAACCCAGAAAGGUCAACCGAUACUGCGGGGCUAGAGUGCAGAAGGGGCAACUGGAAUUCUCGGUGUAGCGGUGAAAUGCGUAGAUAUCGAGAGGAACACCUGCGGCGAAGGCGGGUUGCUGGGCCGACACUGACGCUGAUGCGCGAAAGCCAGGGAGCGAACGGG
rnacentral:rRNA from 1 species